rnacentral:rRNA from 1 species
AUUGAACGCUGGCGGCAUGCCUUACACAUGCAAGUCGAACGGUAACGGGCCUUCGGGUGCCGACGAGUGGCGAACGGGUGAGUAAUGUAUCGGAACGUACCUUUCAGUGGGGGAUAACGUAGCGAAAGUUGCGCUAAUACCGCAUAUUCUGUGAGCAGGAAAGCAGGGGAUCGCAAGACCUUGCGCUGAUUGAGCGGCCGAUAUCAGACUAGCUAGUUGGUGAGGUAAAGGCUCACCAAGGCGACGAUCUGUAGCGGGUCUGAGAGGAUGAUCCGCCACACUGGAACUGAGACACGGUCCAGACUCCUACGGGAGGCAGCAGUGGGGAAUUUUGGACAAUGGGGGCAACCCUGAUCCAGCCAUGCCGCGUGAGUGAAGAAGGCCUUCGGGUUGUAAAGCUCUUUCGGCCGGGAAGAAAUCGCACGGGCUAAUACCCUGUGUGGAUGACGGUACCGGCAUAAGAAGCACCGGCUAACUACGUGCCAGCCGCCGCGGUAACAC